rnacentral:rRNA from 1 species
UACGUAGGGCGCGAGCGUUGUCCGGAAUCAUUGGGCGUAAAGAGCUCGUAGGCGGCCUGUCGCGUCUGCUGUGAAAUCCCGGGGCUUAACCCCGGGCGUGCAGUGGAUACGGGCUGGCUGGAGGCAGGUAGGGGAGAUCGGAAUUCCUGGUGUAGCGGUGAAAUGCGCAGAUAUCAGGAGGAACACCGGUGGCGAAGGCGGAUCUCUGGGCCGAUACUGACGCUGAGGAGCGAAAGCGUGGGGAGCGAACAGG